rnacentral:misc_RNA from 1 species
UUGAAUGAAUCUAGAGUUGGUUGUCGCUGGCCCUCCCAAGGGGGGCAUGUGCACGCCUUCUCUUUCAUCCACACACACACCUGUGCACUUGUGAGACGGAUGGCUUUAAUUAGCCUUCCGUCUACUUAAUUUACACAAACUCAUUAAUAUUAAACUGAAUGUAAUUGAUGUAACACAUCAUUAAAAC